rnacentral:misc_RNA from 1 species
GUGUCAUUAUUGGAACUGGAAAAGGAUGGAGGAGCUGGGGGAUCUGGUAUGUCUAUUGUCCCUUCCAACAUCAGCACCACGUUCUUCAUCGACGGCCGAGAUGAGGGCUCAUCCUGGAUGCACCAUAGUCCUACUUUGACCAGCCUCUCAAGUUUACCUUCCUGCACCUCUUCGUCCUGGAUUAGAUUAUCUAACUCAUUAGCCUCAAAGCAAUCAUAGACCCAGCUUGCAAGAACAACUUGGUCGUCAGGAACAUUCAAAUCCACAUUCCUACGACAGCAUAUGAUCUCCAGUAACAUUUUUCCAUAGCUGUACACAUCUACCUUGACGGUAAUUGGCAAGUUAGUGUGCCACUCAGG